UACGUAGGGAGCAAGCGUUGUUCGGAUUUACUGGGCGUAAAGGGCGCGUAGGCGGCGCGGUAAGUCACUUGUGAAAUCUCUGAGCUUAACUCAGAACGGCCAAGUGAUACUGCAGUGCUAGAGUGCAGAAAGGGCAAUCGGAAUUCUUGGUGUAGCGGUGAAAUGCGUAGAUAUCGAGAGGAACACCUGCGGCGAAGGCGGGUUGCUGGGCUGACACUGACGCUGAUGUGCGAAAGCUAGGGGAGCGAACGGG
rnacentral:rRNA from 1 species